UACCUGCGUCACUACGUCAGUGAGUCACGCAGGCCUCUGCAGAGCAGGUUAGUGUUAACUGUCAAUUAAGCGUUUAAACCUGCAACAGCAGUAUAAAUCUCACUCUGUAGACUUCUUAGACUGUCUAAUAUUCUUACAUUGUUUUAUUAAUGUUGGAAAUGUAUUUUUGUCGUGCAGAGCACUUAGUUGAAAUGAUAAUGCUAGGCUUCCUCUCUGUCUGUCAGGUGUGCUGCUGCAGGUAGAAGUCCCUCAUAUGAAGCUCCUGUACUCACUGUAUUUACUCAGAGGAGAGAAUAAACCCUCGGCUGACCUGAGAGCAGUGCUCCUCAUCUAACUUCACUCAACUCAGACUCUGCAGCCAGAUGAAGUGCUACAUGUAUGGAAGCAUCCUUCCUGCGUCCAGCCUGGUGGGGUUUUUCCUUUUUGUGUGUCUGAGAGGCGAGCGGAGCCGAGCAUGAAAGUGACUUCCUCGAUCAUCUCUGCAGCCCGCGGCGUUCUCUUCAAUCCCUCCAUCGCCGUGAUGGACUUCAGGGUCACGACUCGCUUCCUCCUGGAAACUCGCCUUCGCUGAGAGGAGUCUUAAGAUGGGAGAUGCUGUGAACUCCAGCGGGAUCUGCUCCGGGUCCCGGAGGUCCACCUUAAAUCAACGGGGAGGGAUUCGCUGCGGCAGCUUCGGCAAAGGU